UCCCAGUUGGUCUAGCGGUUAGGAUUUGUGGCUUUCACCCACAAGGCCCGGGUUCGACUCCCGGACUGGGAA